ensembl:snRNA U6 U6 spliceosomal RNA
AUUUUUUUAGUAGGAUAUAUCUAAAAAUUGAAACAGUAUAGAGAUUAGCAUGGACCAUAGCCAAGAAUGAAAUGCAAAUUCAUAAAGCAUUUGAUAUUUUC